ACGGAUCCUUCGGGAUUAGUGGCAGACGGGUGAGUAACGCGUGGGAAGCUACCUUGUGGUAGGGGACAACAGUUGGAAACGACUGCUAAUACCCUAUGAGCCCUAUGGGGGAAAGAUUUAUCGCCAUGAGAUGUGCCCGCGUUAGAUUAGCUAGUUGGUAAGGUAAUGGCUUACCAAGGCGACGAUCUAUAGCUGGUCUGAGAGGAUGAUCAGCCACACUGGGACUGAGACACGGCCCAGACUCCUACGGGAGGCAGCAGUGGGGAAUAUUGGACAAUGGGGGCAACCCUGAUCCAGCCAUGCCGCGUGUGUGAUGACGGCCUUAGGGUUGUAAAGCACUUUCAGCAGUGAAGAUAAUGACAUUAACUGCAGAAGAAGCCCCGGCUAACUUCGUGCCAGCAGCCGCGGUAAUACGAAGGGGGCUAGCGUUGUUCGGAAUCACUGGGCGUAAAGAGUACGUAGGCGGACUGAUAAGUUAGGGGUGAAAUCCCAAGGCUCAACCUUGGAACUGCCUUUGAUACUGUCAGUCUUGAGAUCGAGAGAGGUGAGUGGAACUCCGAGUGUAGAGGUGAAAUUCGUAGAUAUUCGGAAGAACACCAGUGGCGAAGGCGGCUCACUGGCUCGAUACUGACGCUGAGGUACGAAAGCGUGGG
rnacentral:rRNA from 1 species